AGCCGGGCGUAGUGGCGGGCGCCUGUAGUCCCAGCUACUUGGGAGGCUGAGGCAGGAGAAUGGCGUGAACCUGGGAGGCGGAGCUUGCAGUGAGCCGAGAUCCCGUCACUGCACUCCAGCCUGGGCGACAGAGCGAGACUCCGUCUCAAAAAAAAAUAAAUAAAAAAAAUAAUUAGUUGCUCACUGCCUAACCAAUAAAUGUUAGUGUACUGGGCAGGGAAGGGAAAGAGAAGAAUUAGGUUGAUGUAAUUCAUUUAUUAUCUGGAAGCUCAAUAGGGAAUGUGACAUGAAUGAAUUUAAGCAAGUCUGGGCAUAUUGGGAGGCAAUUCUCCAUGUAUGUCUUGCAAAUAAAGGCAUUGGUGAUGAUCACUCUGUCUUUUCGAGGAUGUUGGUAGAGCAAACAGCUUUUGAAGAUAGAGAUGAUUUCUCUCUCUGAAGGAAAAGGUGUUUGUCUACUUUGCAGUCUAAUAAAUACAAUGUCUUCAUCUGGGGCAAACGUUGGGUUUCUUUUCUGCACCUCUAUUAAAAACUGGGGUUUUGCCAGCAAGGGGUUGCUCAUCUAUGAUGCAAACCCAUUGUGUGUGCUGUAUCCACCUGGGAAAAUAUGAAGAUAAGGAUGCUCAUUGUGCCUUCAGUAAUAAAGUCUUUUCUCUUUGAUCUAGGAGUCCAGUGUCUUCAGCCCAUCACGUUGAAGCUGUGGGGGCUAAUAUGUUAGCUUGCAAGUGGCUUAAUAUCUCAUAGUCUUCAUUCUUGAUAAAGCUUCCCUAGUUUCUCAUGGGAGAAGGGCCUACUGGGAUUAUGGAGUCAGAGAAAGUGAUGCACAGAGUUAGUCAUUGGAAGCUGCACACAUUCUAAAUCCAGCAAUCACUGUCCUGAGUGAACAUGAAGUUCUGCAAUUACUCAGUGAUCACAAAGGUCCUCAAAGCUAACACUACUCACGAAGAUGGUGUGAGUUACAUUGGCUGACAAGCUCCAGCCAUGGACGCAAUUCCUUCUAGAAGCAAAAUUUAUCUCUAGACUCCUCCUGUAUUUUAAUUUAGCCACUUUUUUAGGGCCUACAAUUUUAGAUCUCCACAGGGCUCUUGAAACUUCUUGAACCUCAUCAGUAACAUGUCCAUUAGUGGCAUGACCCAAGAGUUCUAGAACAUCUAUUCAGCAAGUGUGUAUCUGAAAACUGAUCACCUCUGAUGAAUUAGAACGGAAUGACCAAGCUUUGGGAGAGGCAAAAGAAUUUCGGUGUUAAAGACUCAGAGUUUAAGAAGCAACAAAAAGAUUAUACAGAUGUGAAUAUGUGACCUUCCUCCACCAGGGCAUGUUGCCUUGGAAAAAAAUUUGCCUGCUCUGCUCAGGACCAUCACUCUGCCUGCCUGGGGCGGAACUGGAUUUUUUCCCCUGGAUUCUUUUCUUGUUGGGAGUGAGUGCAAAGCCUUCCAUCUAUCCCUGGCUACAAGCUGAAAGGCUGGGCACAGUUAAAAGUUUCUACUUUGCUUCAGGGUGUAAAUCUGGGUCCAUACAGGUGCUCUCCGCUGUAUGGUAGGCUACUUGAGGGGCCAUGAGCUUUCUUCUCCAUUUUCUCAACUUUGGCCAGAAACACAGCCAGAAAGAACGAUGAAGCUCAAAGAGUUUCAAGAUUCAAAGUCUUCCAGGUCAAUAUUCAAACACAGAAACAGGGUUUCGCUAUGUUGACCAGGCUGGUCUUAAACUUCUGGCUUCAAGUGAUCUGCCUUCCUCGGUCUCCCAAAGUGCUGCUGUUAACCACUGGAGGGUGUCCAGGUUCUUGGUGUCUUGAACAAAGAAUUGGACAAAACGCACAAACAAAGCAAGCAAAGAAUGAAGCAACAAAAGCAGAGAUUUAUUGAAAAUGAAAGUACACUCCACAGUGUGGGAGCAGGCCUCAGAAUACGGGCUCAAGGGCCCUGUUACAGAUUUUUUUUGGGGGUUUAAAUACCCUCUAGAUGUUUCCAUUGGUUACUUGGUGUACACCCUAUGUAAAUGAAGAGGAUGAAGUAAAGUUACAAAGUCAUGUAUUUGGCCUAUUCCCUACAUAAAUGGAGAGGAUAUUUCCUGUCAUAGCUGUAAUGUUUCCAUGUGAUUUAGUUCUAGGAAGUCCUUAUGUUCCCUGUCUCCAAACCCUAUUCUCAUGCCUCACUGGGAUUACAGGGGUGAGCCACCGAACCUGGCCACCUUUUGUGUAUUUCUAUGUGGGCAUUCUUAACACAAACCAAACAAAAGUCAGCGUUUCUUCUCUUGAAACGGUCUCUGCCUUGUGGCACUUCUCUCUCUCUUUCUGUCUCUGAAAUGCUAUUAUGAAUUUUUGUUAUCGGCACUACCAUUCUUCAGUCAACCAGAGGAUUCAGUAUUGACUUUGACAGAACUCUCCUUUCCAAUUGGUUUCAAAUUCUUAUGCAUUCUACCUUUGUUUCACUGAUUUUGAAAAUUAAACAUUUUCACUAAAUGCAACUAGAAAAUGUUAAUUUUUAACCUCUUCACUCUGACAUUAUGUUAUUUACAUGCGUUGGGGAGCAGAGCAAAAUUGUCUUCC
rnacentral:lncRNA from 1 species